ensembl:lincRNA
UCCGUCUCCACUAAAAACACAAAAAAAUUAGCGGGGCAUGGUGGCACAUGCCUGUAAUCCCAGCUCCUCAGGAGGCUGAGGCAGGAGAAUUGCUGGAACCCAGGAGGAGAAGGUUGCAGUGAGCUGAGAUUGCUCCACUGCACUUCAGCCUGGGUGACAGAGCAAGACUCCAUCUCAAAAAAAAAAUAAUAAUAAAUAAACCCUAAAAGAAAGACAGAGGACCUUAACUGCAGAUAAUACUCUAUUGUUACCCUGUGGCUAUAAAUCUUCUGCAUUGCCUGUCCUCCCAGAUGUUCUGUUAAUCGCUGUAGUAGCUGACAGUUUUGUAUUUAAGCGGUCAGAACAAUGAGUGCUUCUGCUUGAUUCCAGAUUCUCCAAGCUUCCCAUGGAGCCACACCACCUCCUGUCUUGGCACUUCAUGAGUCCAAUGCUGCUUCCCGAGAAGAUCUGGUUGGUAGAUCAUCACCUUGAUUCCUGCCUCUAAGCCUCACCUUUUUCUCAUCAGCCACCACGUUUUUGGCACUAGAACAGUGCUUUUUAUAAUGCACUCAUCAGUGGAUGCUGAAAUCGCAACCUGGCCAUUUGGAUGUUCAACUAAUGCUUUGUGCUGCGGAGUCCCUGCAACUCACCAACCCAUGCUGGAACUCACUGGAGCUCAGGCUGACAGCAGAGGUGGAAGUGGAGAGAGUAUUUAUGCAGCAAGACAUCCAGCCCCGGCUUCAGAUGCUCCACUCCAGCCCUCUGAGAAGACACUGGAAACUGAGGCAGAAUCGGGUGAUCCACUGCUGAAUGUGCCCAGUGGUCAUGCCUGGCGGGCCCAAGUCUAAAGCUGCUAUUUGUACCCUGACUGGAGUGCAGUGGUGCGAUAUCGACUCACUGCAGCCUCCACCUUCCAGAUUCAAGCAAUUCACAUGGCUCAGCCUCCUGAGAAGCUGGGCCUACAGACGUGCAGCACCACGCCCAGGUAAGUUUUGUAUUUUUGGUAGCGACAAAGUUUCACCUUCUUGGCCAGCCUGGUCCCAAAUUCCUGACUUCAUGUGAUCCUCCUGCCUCACCUCCCAACCUUUGUAUACUUUUUGAAGUCAUUGAUCUGCUUGAAAAGGGGAUAGAAGUUUUAAAUCUUCUCCCCAGGAUCAAGGAGACAGACACAAAACUUCAACACAAUGACAAGGGCUUCAAGUGACUAAGUUCUAUCCAGGUACCCUUGGGUAAGAACCCUUGAAAAGCACCUACUAAGAUGAAAAUGAGCCUGGACAACAUAGUAAGACCCAUCUCCACAAAAAAGAAAAAAAUGGAAGGGCAUGGUGGCACAGGCCUUAC